CCCGCUGAACUUAAGCAUACCAAUAAGCGGAGGAAAAGAAACUAACAAGGAUUCCCCUAGUAACUGCGAGUGAAGCGGGAAAAGCUCAAAUUUAAAAUCUGGCGGUCUUGCGGCCGUCCGAGUUGUAAUCUGGAGAAGCGUUUAUCCGCGUCGGACCGUGUACAAGUCUUCUGGAAGGGAGCGUCGUAGAGGGUGAGAAUCCCGUCUUUGACACGGACAACCGGUGCUUUUGUGAUGCGCUCUCGAAGAGUCGAGUUGUUUGGGAACGCAGCUCAAAAUGGGUGGUAAAUUCCAUCUAAAGCUAAAUAUUGGCGAGAGACCGAUAGCGAACAAGUACCGUGAGGGAAAGAUGAAAAGCACUUUGGAAAGAGAGUUAAACAGUACGUGAAAUUGUUGAAAGGGAAACGUUUGAAGUCAGUCGCGUCGGCCGAGACUCAACCUUGCUUCUGCUCGGUGCACUUCUCGGUUGACGGGUCAGCAUCAAUUUUGACCGCCGGAUAAAGGUUGAGGGAACGUGGCAUCCUUCGGGAUGUGUUAUAGACCUCGAUUCGGAUACGGCGAUUGGGAUUGAGGAACUCGGCGCUUUGCGUCCAGGAUGCUGGCAUAAUGGCUUUAAGCGACCCGUCUUGAAACACGG
rnacentral:rRNA from 1 species